rnacentral:lncRNA from 1 species
UGGCGUGGGUUGUGGUACUGUUGGUCAGUGUGGGAGGAUAGCAAGUUAGCAACAAGCAUAGGUUCACAGAAUCCAAAGGAACGUCGGCCCGUCAGGAUUCUCUCUGGAUCUAUUACACUGUUGAGACCUCUGGUGUCUCGGUAGCUGUCUUUUUUUUUUUCCUCUGUUUUUUGGUUUUGUUUCUUUUAACUUUUGAAGGGAGAAAGUGAGGGAACACUGCAACUGAAUAUGGGUCAUGUGCCAGUUUUCUGU